AAGUCGUAACAAGGUUUCCGUAGGUGAACCUGCGGAAGGAUCAUUACUGAAGAAACAAGGGUUUUGAGACUGCGCCGUUCAUUUGGCGUGUGCUCGACUCUUACUCUUUCAUCCAUUCACACCUGUGCACUAAGGGGACAUUGGGUUGUCCCCCUUUUUUAUAUCUUAUAAAUACCGAGUUUAUAUGUAUGUCAUAAUGCUCUACGGAGUAAUAAAAUUAAUACAACUUUCAACAACGGAUCUCUUGGCUUUC
rnacentral:misc_RNA from 1 species